GACUAGUUUGUGUAUUUUUUUAGGGUUUUUCCUUUUUUUUUGGCCAAGAGUGGAUCUAUAUAAAUUGUAGGGUGUGGGCGGACCCAUGAAAAAACGAUACGAUAUAUGUAUUUCUUGGGUAAUGUCCACAUACCUCUGUAUAAGGCCUCGUUUACUUUCUCCCAAAAACGAGGCCUAAGACAAGUGCAUCUCUCUCAUAUUUGGCCUUGUUUAGUUCGCAAAAAUUUUUGUUUUGGCCUUGUUUAGUUCGCAAAAAUUUUUGUUUUUGGCUACUGUAGCAUUUCGGCUUUAUUUGACAAACAUUAUCCAAUCACGGAGUAACUAGACUCAAAAGAUUCAUCUCACAAAUUACAGGUAAAUUGUACAGUUAGUUUUUAUUUUUGUCUAUAUUUAAUGCUCCGUGCAUGCGACCAAAAAUUCGAUGUGAAGGGGAAUCUUAAAAAUUUUUGGAACUAAACAAGGCCUUU
rnacentral:lncRNA from 1 species